AUAGCCUAUAUACCUCUCAAAACAUUAAAAAUAUUUAAUUUACUCCUUUUUUUUUAAUUUCUAAUGUACCACUCAUAUGUUCUUCUGUUAUUCAAAAAUAUCUCUGCAGUUACCAUCUGUUAAGUUAUCUCGGGUUAAACGUGAGUUAAAUAUCUACCAGAGUUAAAAAAAUUAAAAUACCUCUUUUACCCUUAACUUAAAGACAAAUCAGAAAAGUUGGUGAUGAUAGAGGGAUAUAUUUGAAAAGAUUAUAAAUCAAAAUACUUCUUUUCUCCUAACUUAAGGGCAAAUAAGAAAAAUUAGUGAUGGUAGAAGGUUAUAUUUGAAAGGGCAAAAUAGUAAUUUCACAGAAAUAACGGUUAUUGCUAAGAGUUCACGAAGAGAAUUUUACUUUAGCGGUAUAUUUGAAAUAAUUUGGAACGUAAAAAGAGUAUUUUUAAUAUUAGUUUUCUAAAAGGGGUAAAUCAGAAAGUCAGAAACUUUUCAAGGAUAUAUAAGCAGUUGUCUUAUUUUAAAAUUACAAUUUUG
rnacentral:lncRNA from 1 species